CAGCCGCCGCGGGAAUACGAAGGGUGCAAGCGUUAAUCGGAAUUACUGGGCGUAAAGCGUGCGCAGGCGGUUAUAUAAGUCAGAUGUGAAAUCCCCGGGCUCAACCUGGGAACUGCAUUUGAGACUGUAUGGCUAGAGUGUGUCAGAGGGGGGUAGAAUUCCACGUGUAUCAGUGAAAUGCGUAGAUAUGUGGAGGAAUACCGAUGGCGAAGGCAGCCCCCUGGGAUAACACUGACGCUCAUGCACGAAAGCGUGGGGAGCAAACAGGAUUAGAUACCCGAGUAGUCCCUGUCUCUUAUAC
rnacentral:rRNA from 1 species